rnacentral:rRNA from 1 species
AUUGAACGCUGGCGGCAUGCCUUACACAUGCAAGUCGAACGGCAGCACGGAGCUUGCUCUGGUGGCGAGUGGCGAACGGGUGAGUAAUAUAUCGGAACGUACCCAGGAGUGGGGGAUAACGUAGCGAAAGUUACGCUAAUACCGCAUACGAUCUACGGAUGAAAGUGGGGGAUCGCAAGACCUCAUGCUCGUGGAGCGGCCGAUAUCUGAUUAGCUAGUUGGUGGGGUAAAGGCCCACCAAGGCAUCGAUCAGUAGCUGGUCUGAGAGGACGACCAGCCACACUGGAACUGAGACACGGUCCAGACUCCUACGGGAGGCAGCAGUGGGGAAUUUUGGACAAUGGGGGCAACCCUGAUCCAGCAAUGCCGCGUGAGUGAAGAAGGCCUUCGGGUUGUAAAGCUCUUUUGUCAGGGAAGAAAAGGCUGCGGCUAAUAUCUGCGGCUCAUGACGGUACCUGAAGAAUAAGCACCGGCUAACUACGUGCCAGCCGCCGCCGUAACAC